rnacentral:lncRNA from 1 species
GGAGAGGGAGCUGGAGCUUACCUUAGGCUUUCACACGUUCUGAAAAAUCGACAGAGGAGGGAGAGGGAGCUGAAGCUUUAUAACUCGAUGAAGAUGGCUGAACAGAGGGAUGAGCAGCGGCGGAACGGCGUCUGAACAGAGGCUGUACCACGCGACGGAACAGAGGCUGAAUAGCGGCAGAAGCACGGCGAAACGGCAGCAAAAACACGGCGAAACAGAGGCGUUGCGACGACGCUGGAGAAGCGCGGCCGGUGGCGGUGGCUGGACUGGUUGAAGAACAGCGACGAGAUGGAAGAACAGAAGCUGCUGCGUUCGAAGUGGUUAUGGUCUUCUGGAGUUGUGAGAGAGAGGCGAGAGAGCUGAGGGAAGAUAGGGCUUUUUGGGUUUUUCCUUUUCCUGAUUGUUAAAACGGCGUCGUACACCUCUUUUUUCAAAAACCCGGUCAAGUUUCGGUUCGGUCGAACCGACCAAUUAAUUUUUCACAGGUAUCAGAGUGACAGAGUCCAGUCUCUCUUCCUCAACCCUCACUCAGACUCGGCCCCUCUCCAGUCUCCUCUUCACCGCCGGUCAUCCCCUCCACCGUCGCAGUCCCUGCGUCACCCUUUCCCACCCUCGCAGUCGAAGCGGCCGUUGUUCAUCGCUCGUCGCCCGCAGUCGCACUUUGAAGCCGUCGCCAGUCGUCCUCCGCGCAGCUCGCAGCCGCUGUCGUCCUCUGCGUUGCAAUCAGCGCAGUAAACAGUCGCAUUCCUCCACAUCCUUCACCCCCGCUCUCUGAAUCUGUUCAACUAGAGUGUAGAUGUCUCGGGUGAAUUAUUUGGUUCUGUUUUUUU